UACGGAGGGUGCAAGCAUUGAUCGGAAUUACUGGGCGUAAAGGGCGCGUAGGCGGCAAGAUAAGUCAGGUGUGAAAUUCCGGGGCUCAACCCCGGAGCUGCACUUGAAACUGUCUAGCUAGAGUAUAGUUAGGGUAAACGGAAUUCCACGUGUAGCGGUGAAAUGCGUAGAUAUGUGGAAGAACACCAGUGGUGAAGACGGUUUACUGGGCUGUAACUGACGCUGAGGCGCGAAAGCAUGGGGAGCAAACAGG
rnacentral:rRNA from 1 species